rnacentral:rRNA from 1 species
AUGUCUACUAGUUGUCGGGUUUUAAUUAACUUGGUAACGCAGCUAACGCGUGAAGUAGACGCCUGGGGAGUACGGUCGCAAGAUUAAAACUCAAAGGAAUUGACGGGGACCCGCACAAGCGGUGGAUGAUGUGGAUUAAUUCGAUGCAACGCGAAAAACCUUACCUACCCUUGACAUGUACGGAAGACCGAAGAGAUUUGGUUGUGCUCGAAAGAGAACCGUAACACAGGUGCUGCAUGGCUGUCGUCAG